CAUAAGGAAAUGCUGUAGUUGUCUCUUAAUCUAGUAGCUUAUCUGAAGACUUGAAAGGGAAGCUUUUGGAGCUGGCAGGACUUCAUUCUCUAAUGACAAAAGCAUUUGGAGGAGUAUGUAGAACCCAGGGGAAAAUUUAUGCAGACACAAGGAGAAUGAAACUGGGACUGAAAUCAAUCCGAUGUUCACAAAGACCAAUUGCAGGAAACUCCACCUGGGCCCUAUGAUGUCACUUCCGACCCCACCCAAGAAGACAUCACUUCCGGUUCCAUCCCCAGAAGAUGUCACUUCUAGUCCCAUCCCAGAAGAUGCCAUUUCCUUCCUUCCCACUUUAAAACCGACAUUGUUUGUACCAUAACUUCAGUUCUGUUUUGGACUCUUGUCUGUAAAGACCUUUUUUCAAAAACCUUCAGAUUUUUUAGCCACUCUACAAUUAUAUGGGAGGAAGACCCAAACCCCCUAACAUGUCAAGGCUUGAUUAUUCCCACAUGGUAUAAUAUACCAUUAGGGGACUGAUAUGCAGAUUUGAACAAGUUAGAGUAUCAUACCUGUUAAGGUACAGACAGGAAACAUUCCAAGGUUUCUAAGCAUCUCUUUUCUGUCCCCCCUGGCCAUUGAACCUUACUCUUAUUCGAUGUUAAUUAAUGUUGAUUUAUUUUUUU